CUGCCCUCUUUCUGCUCAGCGACCCGCAAUAAUGCCAGUAGCGCGCGAGGGAGCUGAGCAGAGAGAGCACAGGU